rnacentral:sRNA from 1 species
UUUUAGCCCUGAUAAUAGUGAAAAUCCUUUUAUGCCGGUGUUCGGCAUAAAAGAUUGUAACGGAUAGCGGGAUUAGCU